AUGAUGAAGGAAUUGCAAAUGAGACAUAUGAAGAAAAACCAUUGAAGAGAAGUGAACAGCAAAAUAUUAACCAUUGAAUGCACAACAAAGAUUCAAAGAGAAAUCAUGGGAAUCACUGAUAAACUUUGUCAAGCAUUGCAACAAAAAUCUCAAGACAUUUUGAAUGCUAUGCAUCUGGUUUCUAGUACAAAGUCAUUAAUUCAAUAGUUAAGAGAUAAUAGUUGGGGAG